rnacentral:misc_RNA from 1 species
CCACACACACACACACACACACACACACACACACACACACACACACACACACACACACACACACUAUCACUGACGCUGGUUGAACCACUACGAGGAUUGUAAAACACAGGAAUACCAUAUUUGUUUGUUUUUCUCUUUCUUUCAUCGAAGCAGAAAACUACCCCUACAUCAAAGAACUACUUUCACACCAGGAGAGCCAGGUUCCUGCAAGUAUACUACCUGCACCAAAUGAGAAAGACACGGAACUGGAUGCAGACAACGAUGUAUUGGAAUUUGAUUAACAAGAAAGCUGCUGAUGAGCUAUGGCCCUGCCACAGCAGUACACACACAAUAUCACUGACGCUAUAGUCCGACUCAAAUAUGAAGGCCGCUGAGAGGGGAGACCUGACGGGGAUUCCCCGGCUGCGGCAUCGCCAAGCAUCGUAGCACGUUUCGAUCUCAUUAUUAACUUACAUCUUAAUGAACAGUCAUAAAAGUGUAUUUCUCUAAAUUUCUACUAAGGAUGUAUAAAGAGCUUUGAAUAUUGUUUUAGUGUAAUGAAGACAAUGAUUUUGUAUAGAUACCACAAAAUAUAACACCACUGCUCUCCAGCGUUGCUACUUUUCAAGGUUGGACAUGGGUGAGGUCAACCUC